UGUGCAGGUGGUGCAUGGCUGUCGUCAGCUCGUGUCGUGAGAUGUUGGGUUAAGUCCCGCAACGAGCGCAACCCUUGCCCCGUGUUACUAACAGGUAAAGCUGAGGACUCUCGGGGGACUGCCGGCGUCAAGCCGGAGGAAGGUGGGGACGACGUCAAGUCAUCAUGGCCCUUACGCCUAGGGCGACACACGUGCUACAAUGGCCACGACAGAGGGCUGCGAAGCGGUAACGUGGAGCGAAUCCCAGAAACGUGGUCUAAGUUCGGAUUGUGGGCUGCAACUCGCCCACAUGAAGCCGGAAUCGCUAGUAAUCGCGGAUCAGCCACGCCGCGGUGAAUACGUUCCCGGGUCUUGUACACACCG
rnacentral:rRNA from 1 species